AAUACAGGAAGUGCUUGAUACUAAAAUUGGAAUGAUACAGAAAAGAUUAGCAUGGCCCCCGUGCAAAGAUAACAUGCAAAUUCAUGAAGUGCUCCAUAUUUUU